GCAAGAGGAUGUGUUAGAUGCUGAGGUCGGCUGUCAGUUAGCAUAUUAGUUGGAUUCGGCUAGGGCAGGAUGUGGGUUUGUGAAUGGAAGAGUUUGGCCUGUUGAGGAUUUGGGCGUCGGAAGCUUGCAGUCUGAACUGUUCGAUAGCUUGGGGGAUUCGAAUGGAGGAGGGUUCGGUCUAAGGGAUUCGGCUACUGAGAUGUGAGGAGGAUGAGGCUUCGGAGCUUGUGGAGGUUUUGGGAUUCAGGUGGCUUGACGAGAGUGGGAAAGUCGGAAUAGUGACUGUAAGAGGCGAAUCGAAUAGGGCUCCUAGGUCUGAAGGGAUUAAAGCAGGUCGGAGCUAGUUGGGUUUGGCCUGGAGGUUUGGGAAGGUCGCGAGCUCUAUUGGCUAAGGAAGAAGAUCGAACGUGGAGAGCAAGAGGAGGUGGACGCCUUCUUCCUUUGGCUGCUUGAAAGAGGCGAAUACAGUGGGAGAUCGGAUGCUUGUGGGGUUUUCGUGUGGAAGAAGAGUGAAGAAGGAGCGGGAUUCUUGCGUUUGUGAAGGCGGGAGAGGAAGAUAGAGCCUCUAUCUUCUCGUUUUAACGACGCCAAGAGGGCAAGUCUUCGCACGCCAGCGACCAGACGAUUCGGCGCAGUUGCAGGUAAUGAGUACUGUAGCGGAAUUUCUAUCGAAGAUACGGGAUGCAUGAGGCAUAAUUUUGCAUUUGUGGUCAACUGUUACUUCAAUAUGUUGAUUGGAGGAUGCUUGAUUGACUCGGCUCUUUGCUGCUGAUUUAUCUCUAUUCACAUUGAUGAGGUUGUUGCGUGCAUUGUUUGGUUGUAUUUUCUUUGAAGGGUUUAUGGUUUCUAAUCUACAUGAUUAUGUGGUGGCUGUAUUGAGUUAUGUAUAUUUCUUAAAGGUAAUGGUGGAGAAGGCUGAGAGAAAUGAUAUAACAAACAUUGACAAGAAGAAGCAAGUCCUUGUUGUACUCAUUAACAUGUUUUUGGUUUUCUAUUUUUAUUGGGAAUUGUGAGUGUAAAUCGCAUUUCAAAAUUUCUCCACCAAUCAAUGAGCUUCGGAUCC